UACGAAGGGGGCUAGCGUUGCUCGGAAUCACUGGGCGUAAAGGGUGCGUAGGCGGGUCUUUAAGUCAGGGGUGAAAUCCUGGAGCUCAACUCCAGAACUGCCUUUGAUACUGAGGAUCUUGAGUACGGGAGAGGUGAGUGGAACUGCGAGUGUAGAGGUGAAAUUCGUAGAUAUUCGCAAGAACACCAGUGGCGAAGGCGGCUCACUGGCCCGUUACUGACGUUGAGGCACGAAAGCGUGGGGAGCAAACAGG
rnacentral:rRNA from 1 species